ACGGAUGUAGCUCAACUGGCAGAGCAGCGGUCUCCAAAACCGCCGGCUACAGGUUCGAGUCCUGUCAUCCGUGCCA
rnacentral:tRNA from 1 species